rnacentral:tRNA from 1 species
GGGCAUAGCUCAGUGGUAGAGUGCAGUGCUUAGUAUGCACGAGGUCCUGGAUUCAAUCCCAGGUAUCUCCA